UUUUUUGAAGAGUUUGAUUCUGGCUCAGGACGAACGUUGGCGGUGUGUCUAAGGCAUGCAAGUCGAACGAGAUCGCUUUCUUCGGAAAGCAUUAUAUCUAGUGGCAGACGGCUGAGUAACGCGUAAGUAACUUACCCUAGAGUGGGGAAUAACACAGAGAAAUCUGUGCUAAUACCGCAUACGAUUUAUUGAUAAUUUCUAUAAAUGAAAGAUUUAUCGCUCUUGGAUGGGCUUGCGUCCUAUCAGGUAGUUGGCGGGGUAAUGGCCCACCAAGCCUAAGACGGGUAGCUGGUGUGAGAGCACGACCAGCCAGAGGGGGACUGAGACACGGCCCCCACUCCUACGGGAGGCAGCAGCAGGGAAUCU
rnacentral:rRNA from 1 species